UAUAUAUUAAUCUCCAUAUAGUGUAAAACUAGCUAGCAAUUCCCCUUUAAUUAAUUGCUUCGUUGUCAAAAUUUAUUGAUCUCUUUUUUGUUUUGUCAGUUUUUACUUUCCAGUUUCCACGUGAUUAUAUAUGUUAAUACCUCUCUAAUCGUAUUAACAAUAAAAAUUUGUAACAAAUUUUCUUCGAAACUUACAAACUAAUGAAGGGAGUUUGAAAACACCCGAAACAAAACUAAAUGUGACAAAGGGUACAUACACACAUGCAAAUUUUCGAUCUAUAUGCUAUCAUCAAAUGGUUUCAGACUCUCGAUCGACAGACCCAUGAUUCAUCAUUCAUCGUGUCAAAUAUUCAAGUUAUGGAUUGAGUGUAAAGGGACUAGUUUUUAUUUUUAUUUUUUUUUCAUUUAACCGGGGACUUAUAUUCACAUUAAUGUUAAUGGGAACUAUAAAAUACAUUUUUAUCUAAUAUAUAAAGUUAUAGAAUAAGUGUGCAGGGGCUAAUUUAGAUUUUUAUACUAAUUUUUCAUAUUUUAUAUGAAAACCCAUAAUUUUUUCAAACUCUACAAGUGCCACGUCAUUCUCUAGCUAUAUGUUUUCUGUGUCCUUUGUAUCAUAUGCAGAUCGAGUUCUUAUAAGUAAAAAGGUUGUGUAGGCUCACUCCUAUGUGAGUCUGACUACUCUAAAACUAUACUAUGCUCAUAAGAUUUAACUCAUAUUUAAAAAUUAGUUCAAAAAUUAAUGGUUGUCCCAGUUUUGCAUGAGGAUAAUCAAUAUCGAUUAUGAGGGAUUUAUAUGUAGAAUAUUGAUGAAAUGACUGAUUUUCUUCCUACCAACUUUGAUUAAUAAUACUUCUAAAGAGAGUUGGCAACUUGCCUUUGUUAUAAUAAUUGAUCAUUGACAUAUGUAGGACUAGAUGAAAUGAAGCGGAAUUGGAACGUAAUUAAAAUCUUUUGUAAUGUAUAUCUUUUGGAGUGACAAUUACUACUUGAGUUGAUGAUAACUACAAACAUUUAUUUAAUAGCGAUUGUGUCCUUUAUUUUUUUGUCUCACCCAACACUUUCUAUCGGUUGUUUUGCUGCCGGCCCUCCCCAUAAAUAUUUUUAAAUAAAAACUUUAUCUUGAAUCGGUCUCUGCGUUGUGACUUCUUAGAGAGAUUGAAGAUAAACAUUACGCUGUACAUAUUUUGAUCAUGCAAAAUUCGUCUUUGUUCCCGUGAAAGGUAAGCUUGAGACACAGAUAGUGAACUGAACUCUAUAAGUAGGACACUUGUCAACCGUUGGUUGGACAGAAGCUGCUUGAUGUAGUGGUAUUAUAUAUCCCCACAUAAUUUUUCUUCACAAUCACGCACAUGGCUUCGCAGGGAGCAGGCAAGCCAUUUGGGAAAAUCGUGAAGACAGCAUGCACCCACAUUUUUGUUUUUCCUUUUGUCCGGUUUGGUGCUAUAAACCAAGUUGCUUACUCCCUUAGGCUUAUCUAUUCAGAGAUAAGAUACAAUCUGUCUCAAUACUAAAACCUCGAUCCUUCCAAUUCCAAUUCAAUCUUCUCGAUGGCCCAAUCAGUUUACAUAAAAUCUCAAUUCCGAUUGGCGCCAGUCGAUAUUUCAAUUUUACCCACCAUUAACACGUGUCCACCAUGCACGUUAUAUUAGGCCUUUAUGAAGCAUGAUACAUCAUGGGUCUUGGAAAGUUAUAUUAAAUUCUAAUGUUGUUACUCAUUAAGUCCCACUUAUUUCAUGUGCUACUAUUGUCUUGUAUUAGGUGGUUACCUUUGAGUUAUUGUCAGUUUCUUAUAAUGUAAGUUAGCAGUUGUCUAGAAUCAUUUUCAAGUGCGAACUAGCAUUUUACAACAUUAUAUGUAAAGAAAUUUUACAUUACUUGUACAGUCUCUUUAUAUCGCAUUACAAAAAGAGUUUUGUUAGUGCUAUAUAAAAUAUGGACAUUGGAACGCCCGUUAUUUGCUUUCCUCUUUUAUCCUUAUUAAAUUGGUUAGAAUAGUUAAUAUUGGGUGUUUGUGUGUGAGUAAAACUUAUCAAUUUAUUUUAAAUAAGUUACGUAGCUUAUUAGCUUUAAUAAAUUAAAAAAAAUGAAUUUUCUUAAAACUCACGUUUUCUUGCUUUCUAUUUCUUUUAUGGUGCGUUUACUUCAAGAGAAUGAGAAUGAGGUGGAAUGUGAAUAUGCUGGGAAUGGGAAUGAGCUGGGAUGAGAAUGAUGAAUGAGAAUGAGAUUUCAAUGUUUACUUGGUAAAAAUAAAUGAGAAUGAGAAUAUGCUGGAAUGCCAUCGAUGUGUUUACUUAGCAAAAUAAAUGGGAAUGAGGAAUGUGAAUGAGAAUCAAUUUACCAAAAUACCCAUAGUAUUAAUAAUUAAUAAAAAUAAUUAAUUUAUC
rnacentral:lncRNA from 1 species